rnacentral:miRNA from 1 species
GGCGAGCCACGGCCUAGUGGGUUC